rnacentral:rRNA from 1 species
AGUGAACGCUGGCGGCGUGCUUAACACAUGCAAGUCGAACGAGAACGGAUUAUAGCUUGCUAUAAUUGUCAGCUAAGUGGCGCACGGGUGAGUAAUGUAUAGGUAAUAUGCCUCUUACUAAGGGAUAACAAUUGGAAACGAUUGCUAAUACCUUAUACUCCUUAUUAACAGAAGUUAAUAAGGGAAAGAUUUAUUGGUAAGAGAUUAGCCUGUAUUGUAUCAGUUAGUUGGUGGGGUAAUGGCUUACCAAGACUAUGACACAUAACUGGUUUGAGAGGAUGAUCAGUCACACUGGAACUGAGACACGGCCCAGACUCCUACGGGAGGCAGCAGUGGGGAAUAUUGGACAAUGGGCGAAAGCCUGAUCCAGCAAUGCCGCGUGAGUGAUGAAGGCCCUCGGGUCGUAAAGCUCUUUUACCAGGGAUGAUAAUGACAGUACCUGGAGAAUAAGCUCCGGCUAACUCCGUG